UACGUAGGGUGCGAGCGUUAAUCGGAAUUACUGGGCGUAAAGUGUGCGCAGGCGGCCGUGCAAGUCGAGUGUGAAAGCCCCGAGCUUAACUUGGGAAUUGCGCUCGAAACUACGUGGCUGGAGUGUGGCAGAGGAAGGUGGAAUUCCAGGUGUAGCGGUGAAAUGCGUAGAGAUCUGGAGGAACACCGAUGGCGAAGGCAGCCUUCUGGGCCAACACUGACGCUCAUGCACGAAAGCGUGGGGAGCAAACAGG
rnacentral:rRNA from 1 species